AAUUCAAAAAAGGUGGUCCGGAAAGUGCAUUAAAAGAAACGCCAAAUGAUCUAACAAAGGAGGAUUGGGAGUGGUUGGUGAAAGAGCAUUUUACAAGUUCCAAUUUCAAAAAAGUUAGUUCUAGAAAUUCCGGAAAUAGAGGAAAUUUAACAAUGCCUCAUCGCACUGGUAGCAUGCCAUUCAGACAAGUAAUUUGGGAUGAUAUGGGAGGUAAAGAAGGGAAGGAACCGCCUCCAAUAUCAGCUGUUUUUAAGAGGACAAGGAAAAGAAAAUCUGGAAAUUUAGAUGAAGAUGAGGAUGGCAAAUAUGUAUGU